AUCCCGUCAGCAUGGCGUCGGGCUUCAUCGGAGCGCGAGAGGGGGUCUGUUUCUGUCUUUGGUUAUCUAGCUGUAUGAGUUUUAAAUGCCUGUCAUAAAGCUAGAUAACCGAAAGUAGAAAUGACUCCCGGAACGUUGUGUUCAUCCCCGAAAGACGCGGGACUCCUCGAGCUUCCAACUGGGAAAAAGGCUUCCAAUAUACGACAUUGAAUGAUCGUGGAUCCCUGAAAAGAGGCUCGAGCCAUCGUUGAAAGAAAAGGAAGCGAGAGCUGAGGGGAAAACGGUCGGUCCGGAAUUGCUACCUCCUCCUCCUCCUCCACCCCCAUUAGUCGUCCUUUUUGCCCAAGAGCCUCUAAUGCCAUCUGUGCUGCCAACGGGGGUUGGAGGGGAGGGGGCGGAUUCUGCCCGUGCCAGGACGCGGACAAAGACCCUUCCGGAUCCCCGGAGCACGGGCACGCUCAGAGGAGCCAUCUUGGGGAGAUGUUGCCGCGACACCUAAAAUGGCAGGCUGGCACACCGAGGUGAAUUCUGUAGAGGAGGCGACACUGAGAUAAUAACUAUUUGGGACGGGGAACAGGAUCGGCCUCUCUGCGCUCUGAAGGAACCUGCUUGGGCGCGAGGACAUGGACCAAACUCAACGAAAUACUGUCUUCAGAAAGUCUCAACAGAGAUCAUCAGUCACCUAAACGAGGAGAGCAGCCCUGUGUGGCAAAGGACAUGUAGAAAGAAAAGAGCUACUGUACAAGCUGGAAAUGUGCCUGUUAUCCAUGUUCAUGAUAUUGUAUUAAUGUGUGUGAUACAUAUACAUUAUUUUAAAAAUUGCAGAAAACUUGUUCUCACCGAUAUAUCUAAAGUGCAUCUACAUGUUUUAAUUAAUAAUUUAUGAAACUGCUGUUCUCAUAUGUCUGAAUUGAAAUAGGAAUUUAUAAGACUGGAGUGCAUUACUGAAAAAGCUGAUUGUAUUUCUUCUUUGAAUUAAAUCGAUAAUGAAAAUAUUUUCAUCUCUGUGUUACAAUCGUGCUUUUGAGCAAUUAUUUCAGUGAUAAAUUAGGAAGGGAAACAAUAAAUUAUUACAAUGCGGACAUCCUAAAGAAUGUGUUUUCAUGUUGAAUGUUUUCAACAGCACUUUGUCUUUAAUCUUCAAUAAAAAAAUGAACAAGGAUCGAUCUAAAACAGACAGUAUACGGAGUCAAGCCGGCUGGACCUUUUCUCUGCCGGCUUUCUGUUUUUAGAUUCAAAUGGUAAUUUCUGUGAGGAUCGUGCGAGGCGGUCUUUGAGUGACCCCACAUUAAGGUUUAAUUAGGAGGAGCAGACGGGGGGUUGUGUGUUGAUCAGUGUGGGAAAAGAGAAAUUCACUGCCUGAACUGUCUACACUGCGGAAAUAGACAUUCACUCUGUUCAUAUCGGCUGCGAAAAAUGAUACGGCUAAAUAACAGGAGUGUUAUAUUUGGAAAGGUUUCUUUUUACUGCUCAGCAGGCACGAUGUAUCGGGGAUUACAGGCAGUCAAACAACAGAUGCUCCUGCUUCUUAUGAGAGAUUAUCUCUGUCUCUAGGACACAAAUUAUUUCCUCUCCAUUGAAAUGAUGCCUUAUCUUAGAUUCAGAGGUUUGAUGUUCCUUUUUCAACAAUUUAACAAUUUAACUGGGAUUUCUUAUUUAAUAUAUGUCAUUUUAUUCAAUGUGUGAAAAUGUAUUUUAAUUUGUUUUAAAAUAUCUUACUAAAGUUUACAACAAACUUUAAAAUGUUAAAUAAAGAAUAAAAAGCAUUGCUGUCACAGAUUGCACAAGAGCUGUUGCAUUAAGAAAGACAAAAAGCUAGACUAUUACUACUAUAUUUGUAGACCAAAGAGAGGAUCUACAAACCAAAAUAACGGUGAACUAUUGAAUACAAUAAACUGUAAAAGAGACAAAAAUAGUCACAAACCCAGUGAGGACACAUGGGAGUUGUAUGAAAGAACUGAGGGGGG
ensembl:lncRNA